rnacentral:ncRNA from 1 species
UGAAAUACAUUGAAGAAAAGAGUAGUAAAGUAGAAAGUGCAAAAGAGAGCUAGGAUAGGUGAAAGCUAGCCAUGGGAAGCUUUAUGAAUAUGGUUUCGGAGUAGAUUUUCUGAGAGAGUAGUCUUUAGGAAAAUACGGUAGCAACCGUUAUAUUGCAAGGUGAUGGCAUUUUAAAAUAUUAAUUUUUAAGAUAAGUCACUUACAGAGGUAUUUAUGGUAACAUAAAUAUAAAUUUAGAGUGGUAACGCGUAUAUAAUGACGUCUCUAUG